GAGCAAAACCAGCGACGCGUCCCGGACGCCCGGGGACCCCUGUGGGUCUCGGUUUCCUUCGCUGUGACCCUGACAUGUUUCCCUCCACCGGCCCGAGGAAACCGUCGCUUCCAGCCUCCAGGUGUUAUCUUAGGAGCCAAGCAUCUCCUUUGGUCCUGCGCUCCUUCGCCUAGCGCCUGGUGCCCCCCACCCGGCUGCAUCCGAGGCUUGCGCGGCCCGGUCCCAUCAGCCGAGCGUCGCCCGCCCAGGAGGAGGCUCGGGUUCUCCGCAGAAGCGAAUACUUUCUCUUUUUGUUUUAAGUUAGAACCUUGCUUUUGCAGUGAUUCGUUGCUGUGGCGUGAUUUUAAACAGGUGAGAAAUCGGAGUCUCAUUUUCCCAGGGGGGCUUCCAAUGAGGAUUUUAAGAGAAGCGUGCAAAGAAGACAGCAAUGUCCAUCUUUUUUUUUUCUUGUUUUCUUUUGAACAGAGGGAACCCCCACGCGCUGAGAUAGUUAUGUUUUUAAGGCUAAACUUUUUUAAAAUUAGUUUUUCUUUUACACUUAUGGCUGACUUUUGAUCCUUUUAAAGAAAGGAUGAAGUCAAAACAGAUUAAUGCUUUUGAAUACACAACGUCCCCACGUCCCCAAAUUGUGGUGCUGGGAUAGUUCCUCUAAGAUGCAUUCUGAUUUUGAAGUUCAAGGUCUCUAAGCGCUGUUAAGCGGAACCAUGAAAAAUACGUUGCUACAUUAAAGAUAAAACAGACGGUGAUACUGACUGCAGAAUCGUAGUAGAAACUUUUUUUUUUUUUUUGAGGCUGUGCAGGAUUUGCCUUGGUUUUAUUAGGGAACCUGCUAAUAGAAGCAAUUUCAAGUGACGGGCUUCCCUCAGUAAAAAGCUGGAAGCAAUGACAUCUUUUCUAUCUGAGUGACUCUCCUUAGUCGUGGUAAAUAAAUAAAUAAAUAAAUAAAUAGAUAGAUAGAUAGAUAAAUAAAUAAAUAAAUAAAAAUUAGUUUACAUGCAGUGUUUGAAAAGAAAAUGAUUUUGCUUCCCAAGUUUUUAUGUGUUUUCUUUUUUACCAACUAUAUUUCACUUUAUUUACAAUUGUCAGUUUAUUCUCACACCUUCUGGUUAGUUUUAUCUUCUCACCAUGGUCUGUUAGAACCCCAUCCUCGAGCAAAAAAACAAAAACAAAAACCACCCCCCCAAAACAAACAAACAAACAAACAAAACAGGUGUUCAUCCCUGUGAGAUGCUAAUGCCCCUGGAACUGUUUGAAAAGAGCAAAAUUUUGUAAGGAGAUUCUUUUCAAAAAGUGUUAGAGAAGUAUUCUUCAAAAACAUCUUAGAAUGUUUCCUUAAAAAAUUUCCUUUCUUGGUUUUCAUUAAUUGCCUUUGAUUAAAAUUAGGUUACAAACAUAUCUUAAUUUCAGACUGUUUCUUUAUAAAAGAAAGGAGAAAGUAAAUAGGUGUUGGCAAGGACUAAACCAAUGCAACUAGGCCCUGUUGAGAGCCUAAAUCUGUAAACUGGUACCCUUAAAAAACAUCAAUCAACUUGAGGUUCGUACAGGUAGUUCUUUGACUCAAACAGUUGAUUUUUAAAAGUCUUAUAAAAUAGGUUAAAAUGUGUUUUUAGUCCAGGUUCCUACUUCUUUGUUAUGCAUUUCUCCUCGUAGAUAAAUAAAUGAAUCUAACUUGAUGAGUAGGUAGAUUUUUCUCCAGAAGAACUUUCUAAAAAUGGGCAAAGUUAGGGAAGUGAUUAAUACCCUUCAGUUUAAUUGGAAUUAUUCAGUGCUUAUACCAAGUUAAUCCUAUUAAGAUGCUAUUUCCUGCUCAGGGGGAUAAAUUAAGCACAACUUAGAUUAUUUUAGGUGGACAACUGGUAUAUAGUCUAAGCAAUGGGGGCUGGAAAAAAGUAUCUCUUCUCCAAAAAAUAUAGAUUAUGUACCAGUAAUGUUCAAAGUACUUUGAGGAAGUGUAUUGAUGGGAUGAAUAUAAAUCAUAGUGACUGUUGUUAAGGGGUUUACGGAUUAUAAAGAGCAAUUGAGCUUCCUUUAUUUUCUCUUAUUUAGAAAACAAACAUUCAUAAGAAAAAAAUAAAAUUAGAUCCCUUCUUUUGCCCACAUACAAAUUCAGUUUCAGAUCAAUUAAAAAGUUAAAUAAGAAAAAUAGAAUUAAAAAAAUAUUGGAAGGCUGGGCGCAGUGGCUCACGCCUGUAAUCCCAGCACUUUGGGAGGCCAAGGCGGGCAGAUCACGAGGUCAGGAGAUUGAGACCAUCUUGGCCAACAUGGGGAAACCCUAUCUCUAGUAAAA
rnacentral:lncRNA from 10 species